rnacentral:rRNA from 1 species
UACGUAGGGGCCUAGCGUUGUCCGGAUUUAUUGGGCGUAAAGAGCGUGUAGGCGGCCAGGUAGGUCUGCUGUGAAAACUCGAGGCUUAACCUCGAGAUGUCGGCGGAAACCAUCUGGCUAGAGUCCGGAAGAGGAGAAUGGAAUUCCCGGUGUAGCGGUGAAAUGCGCAGAUAUCGGGAAGAACACCCGUGGCGAAGGCGGUUCUCUGGGACGGUACUGACGCUGAGACGCGAAAGCGUGGGGAGCGAACAGG